rnacentral:lncRNA from 1 species
GCAUAAGGACCUAUUAGUGCAUGAAAUAAAAAGGGGGGACUUGCAUGUCAAAUUCCCCCCUAAUUAGUAGUGGCCGGCCAGGACAAGCAUGGUAGACCAAGUGUGAUGGGCAAGACAUGUCAUAGACAUGUUGUGUUGGUGCAUCAUGGGUGGAAAAAAAUAAAAUAAGGAGCAUGGGCAUAAAAUAAUGAAAGGGAAUAUGAUGAAAACAAAACAAAAAAAAAGUGUGUGGUUG